GUCUAGUGUCGCCUAGCAACGACAAACCGCCACUGGCGCUUCGCUUCAAACAUAAAUUACAGCUAGUACCUCGUGGUUCCAGUAUGGAGGCUCCUGAUGCUCUUAUGACUGAUCCAGGUGCCCUCAGUCAGUCCAUCACUAACGACGAAGCCUCCGUCAUGGAAGCUGUAGGUGAUGCUGGACUGGAAUCUCAAAGCAGAGUUGUUUACAGAAUCGCCUUUGAGGAGUAUCUCAGAGCCUGGAUUAAGAUGGCCACCACGAAAGCUGGACUUUUGAUGAGAGAAGAAUCCCUGGAUGAGCUGAUGAAGUGUCCAGGAAGGUUUGCAGCGUGUUACGGCAGGCCGCCCAGCGGGUCAGAUGUCUGUGCUCAAGAACAGCAUCAAAUUUUUAAAGAUAUCAUGUAUGGGCCGGGGCUGAGACGCUUGAAGAAGCACAGUGAGAAGAAAAAGGCUCGAGUCAACCAAAUGAGAAAGAUCUACAUGCUCUGUAGAAGUCCAGACCUGCUGACUCCUCAUGUUUCUGCACCAAACGACUCUGCCGGUGACCCAGAGACGAAGGAAUGCUGGGAGAGCGAAGUGGACAGGCUGGUGGCAUGGACGCACUCGCUUUCUUUUGAAGAACUGGACAGACAGUGAUUUGGCGCCAGUCACAUUUGACUGGUUUUCAUUCCAUUAAUAAACGCAGUCAUAUGCACCCCCGGUCAAACGAUCAUCAACAACGAAACAGUUUGAAAUAUUUACACAACAUCUGAGGGAAGAACGUUAAAUAUGGCUUUUUUUCUCUGCAAUUUCUUUUAUUUGCUGAGGUGAACAU
ensembl:lncRNA